UUUUAUAUAUUGCUUUCUGAUGUAGGAAUAAGAAGACAUUGUGGGCAACGUGAUUGUUUCUUUCCCGAGAACACGUCUGCUCCCAAAGGGGAGCAAAGAUAGAAGGUCAGAAGAAAGAGCAGGAGGCAAUGGAAGGUACUUUUCUUCUCUUCCUGAAGAGAAAUAUCUAGAAGAAGUGAUUGGCCACCUUUGCAAAUGUGCCUUGGACCAGCCAUGGGUGUCUGAGAUGUAUCCUACUCAAUAAGAACUUUUGGGGAAACCACCAGAGCAUUCAUUCAGAGAUCAUUGUUUUACUAUCUCUGCAUCAGGGCAUCAUAAGCAUUUGGAAUGAUUCUUCCUGACCAGAAUACACAGAUGGCAUGUUUGGCUCUUUGACAAUGGCAGAAUCUGGGAACUAACACAGAAGGCUAUUCCCUGAAGCAAAAUGGAUUGAUCCAGAUGCAGAAAGCAAAACAGAUCAUCAUGAUGGAGACAUGGGUGUCGGCUGGAGGUAACCACAGAAUGUGGCUCUGAGGCUGUCUUCACUGAGAACACUAUGUGUCCGAGAGUGACCGCCAACCAAUCUUUCCUGGAGCGACCAGUCAUCCAGGGUACUGUCUCUUAUAUGUGACACAAGCUCCCACACCCUUUGCUUGCACCUGCAGGCAAACAUCCAGGAAUUUAAAUAAAAACUUGAAACUAAAAAAGAAAAAGAAAUAGGGUCUUUGCAGAUGUAAUUAAUCUCAAAAUUAAAUCAUCCUGAGUUUGGAGUGGGUCCUCAAUCUAAUGACUGGUGUUCUUAGAGGGAGAGAGAACACAGAAAGACACAGACACCACACAAGGGAGAAUGCCAUGUGACACCCACGUGAAGAUCAGGAUAGUGCAUCUACAACCAAAGAAUGCCAAGAAUGGAAGACAGCCAGAAAUUAGGAGACAGAGCCUGAUCCAAAUACCCUGCUCUUGUCAUAUUCUUUGUCGCUUGCAGACAGUUUUGCGUUCUUGAAACAUCCACAUAUUCCCAUGAUCAUAGCGCAAAGCAGAAAGUCUCCAGAGCCUUACGGCAGGCACAGAUGAAAUGCGGAUGCAGACGAAGGAGAGAACACUGUCAGCUUCCGAAGAAACCUUGAAGGAUUGGGAGUUGGACACGACCCAGGAAAGGGCACUCCUGGUGGAAAGAGCAGCCUGGAGCCAGGCAGGGAGCAGAGAAGCACACAUCCACAGCAACUAUAGCUAUAUGUGGUCAGUGUGUUUGGGCACAGGUCAGAAAUUUAGAUUUUUCUGACAGUGUGACGAGUGAGGACCUGCUGAAGGUGUCAGACAGGGGUGUGGGGGGGCAGUGAUAGAAUGGUACUUGCAGAAAUGAACUACUAUGUAUCUGAAGGACAGAUAGAUGAGAAAUGAACAUGGAAACAGCAAGACUGGUCCAAAAACUGUGCCACCACAUGAGAGGUGACAAAGGGCCUAAACCAGGGCUGUCGCCACGGAAAUGGAGAAUAGUGUGGUCAACCUGAGGCUACGUAACAGCUGGAACCCCUUACCUGCUCACUCUGUGCCAGAUACGGUCUUCCAGUUUUACCUGGAUUAUUUUGUUUAAUCCUCAUUACAAGCCAAUGGGAGUUAUAUUGUUAUUAUUGUAUUUUACAGAUAAGGAGAUUGAGGUUGGAUGACAAUCACUGGAAAAACCCUGGGCUCUCUCUCUUUUCCUAGCGUAGUCAUUGAGAUAGCUUCUCUCCAAGAGGGCCACCCACUGUCAUUCAUUUCCCCCGACUCUAAUUGUCAUUUCCCAUUGAGGUAGAGUCUCUUCAUCCAGCCCUUUCACUCCAGGCUGUGCUACGACUCCUUCGGUCACAGAACGUUGUGUGUACCAUACUGCCUGUGCAGUCAUCGUCAGCCAAAAAACAUAGGAAAGACUACCAGUGAGAACCACCUUGCCAAGUUCGCUCAACACGAGAAUCAUGAGAGAUGGUGACUAUGCCUGCUAAGUGUUCUGCUGUGGACAAGGCAUUGCAUGGUUAACCUGCGUUUAGGAAGUAUAAACAACCGGGACAACCCAAACUCAAACCCAGGUGUACCUGUGCUUUGAACCCCAAGGAAAUCCAUCAUAAGACAGGUUGAUAUGUCUGGUAUCAGAGACGUGGGAAGUGGUAGUGCUGGGUUCAAAUCCAUGUUUUUAACCACUGUGCCAUACCUUGUACCACUCGGAGGAUAUUGGCAAAGAUGGGGAUCGCUAGUCACCUAGGAGCAGCUAAGAGAUUGCACUAGUCCAACCUCUUCAUUUCACAGAGUGGAUCGUUUUUCUUCUGAAACCUAUUUAUCCCACCAUAUUCCAGACCCAUGAGAUCCCAGUGUUCUCAACCCUGGCUGCCCUGUGGAGUCAUCUGGAGAAGAUUUAAAACAAAACACAACGAAAGCUCAACCAGAUCAAGAGAUUUUUACCGAAUUUACAGGUCCACAGCGGCUCUCAUUUCUAUCUCCUCGACCUUGGAUCCAAACCUUCGGCAUCUCAGUAAAUGGCACAACCAAGUUGCUCAGGCCAGAAACUGGCCAGUUUGAAUACUCAGGCCAGUAUUUAUCCUCGAUUCCUCUUUCCCUUCCAUCUACAACCAAACCACCGACUUGUGUCAGGCACUGGGUAAAUGUUCAAUGAAAUCAGACAUCUAUGGUGUGGGUCUUCAUUUGGAAGGGCACAAUUUUUUAGGUUAUAUAUGUUUGUGUUGUGUACACACACACCCUGUCUGGACUCCUUCUUCUAUCCCCACGUGUCUCCUCUCUGAGAGGAUCAAAUUCAGACUCCAGAGAGAGACCCGGUACUCCGAGUGACAUCCUGACCCCAUGACGAGAGGGCUUGGGUCGCUUUUGAGCUCUUACAUUUCUGUUUUAUUCUUCCCACCCAUCACUCCUGCCUUUUACAUCAUUGGCAUAUCCACAGGUAAUUUGUGUGGCCCUGAGAAUUCUCUGCUCUGCAAAGAACUGAUAGAGAAAUGUCCUUUAAAGCAAUAAUCCCAGCCGUGUUUUAGUCAAGCAAGCAAUAAAGGGCUGCCAAGAUUGAUUAAACAGAGAAGCCAAGCCGCGGCCUCUCCUCAGUCAUGAGAGCUGUCUGUCUAGAUGACACUGCCCCAGACAAACAGACCCCUCUGACCUUCUACUCCAUAGCUUCUGUUUGGUGCUGGGAAUAGACCUCGCCGA